rnacentral:rRNA from 1 species
AAUGAACGUUGGCGGCGUGGAUUAGGCAUGCAAGUCGAGCGAGAAGGGGCUGCUCAUCCGACCCAUUUAGCCGCCGGUCAUCGACCGGCGGUUGGAGUGGUUCAGAUGAGUAGCCCCGGAAAGCGGCGAAAGGGAGAGUAACGCGUAGUUACGUGCCCCAGGGUUCGGAAUAGCCCGCCGAAAGGCGGAGUAAUGCCGAAUAACAUCUCCGGAUCAAAGGUGUGAUUCCGCCCUGGGAGCGGACUGCGUCCUACUAGCUAGUUGGCGGGGUAAUGGCCCACCAAGGCAACAAUGGGUAGCGGGUGUGAGAGCAUGACCCGUCUCACUGGGACUGAGACACUGCCCAGACACCUACGGGUGGCUGCAGUCGAGAAUCUUCGGCAAUGAGCGCAAGCUUGACCGAGCGACGCCGCGUGUGGGAUGAAGGCCCUCGGGUUGUAAACCACUGUCGUAGGGGAGGAAGGCUCCGUGAAGAACGGGGUUUGACCUAUCCUAGGAGGAAGGACGGGCUAAGUUCGUGCCAGCCGCCGCCG